UACGGGGGGAGCAAGCGUUGUUCGGAUUUACUGGGCGUAAAGGGCGCGUAGGCGGCGCAACAAGUCACUUGUGAAAUCUCCGGGCUUAACCCGGAGCGGUCAAGUGAUACUGUCGUGCUAGAGUGCGGGAAGGGGCUACUGGAAUUCUCGGUGUAGCGGUGAAAUGCGAUAGAUAUCGAGAGGAACACCUGCGGCGAAGGCGGGUAGCUGGGCCGACACUGACGC
rnacentral:rRNA from 1 species